rnacentral:rRNA from 1 species
CUCCUACGGGACGCAGCAGUGGGGAAUAUUGGACAAUGGGGGAAACCCUGAUCCAGCGACGCCGCGUGAGUGAAGAAGUAUUUCGGUACGUAAAGCUCUAUCAGCAGGAAAGAAAAUGACGGUACCUGACUAAGAAGCCCCGGCUAACUACGUGCCAGCAGCCGCGGUAAUACGUAGGAUGCGAGCGUUAUCCGGAUUUAUUGGGUGUAAAGGGAGCGUAGACGGCAUUGCAAGUCUGAUGUGAAAGAUUGGGGCUCAACCCCAGUCCUGCAUUGGAAACUGUAAAGCUGGAGUACAGGAGAGGG